rnacentral:rRNA from 1 species
CCUACGGGGCGCUGCAGUAGGGAAUCUUCCACAAUGGGCGAAAGCCUGAUGGAGCAACGCCGCGUGGGUGAAGAAGGUCUUCGGAUCGUAAAACCCUGUUGUUAGAGAAGAAAGUGCGUGAGAGUAACUGUUCACGUUUCGACGGUAUCUAACCAGAAAGCCACGGCUAACUACGUGCCAGCAGCCGCGGUAAUACGUAGGUGGCAAGCGUUAUCCGGAUUGAUUGGGCGUAAAGGGAACGCAGGCGGUCUUUUAAGUCUGAUGUGAAAGCCUUCGGCUUAACCUGAGUAGUUCAUUGGAACCUGGGAGAUUUGAGUGCAGAAGAGGAGAGUGGAACUCCAUGUGUAGCGGUGCAAUGCGUAGAUAUAUGGAAGAACACCAGUGGCGAAAGCGGCUCUCUGGUCUGUAACUGACGCUGAGGUUCGAAAGCGUGGGUAGCAAACAGGAUUAGAUACCCCUGUAGUC